GGUCGGUUCACCUCGCUCUUCUUCUUCCCGUUGGUCCAGCUUGUCGACCAUCAAGGGGCCCUUCAAUUCAUCGCUUUGAGCAGAGAUCUGAAAGCAUCGUCUGGCGAGUUGUUGGUCUCCGCGUAUCUCUCUGACUCCAUUUUUGGUCGGGAACCGAACCAGGAGAUGAUAUGUCGAAACUAUCGCCCUGAGGGCGUUUAGUCCGGGUCUUCCGAGUAUGGCAUUGUAGGCCGAGGGCACUUGGACGACCGCAAAAGUCAAGUGGACUGUGCUCUGUCGUGGUUCGGUUCCGGCCGUCACGGGCAA
rnacentral:lncRNA from 1 species